rnacentral:lncRNA from 1 species
UCUCUGUGUGUUGAAGUCAGCAGAUAGCACACCUGCUGCUGCGUGAGUUCCUUCUGCCAAGCAGAGCAGCACAGCUGCAAGACACCCUGCUUCUGGCUCUGAGCUUUGCUUGUCUUCAGGGAUGGAGCCCCUCCCAAGGCAAGUUCAACUGGGUUCUUUGGCAGCCGAAGUCUACACGGACCCUGCAGGGAGCGGUGGAGAAAACACCUUUUUCUUCCUUCCAUGAUAUAGAUAUAUUGAUCAUGAGGAGAGGGCUCACCCCUCACCCGGAGAAGUAGUUGGGGAAGCAAUAUGCGGAAACAAAGCCAUGAAUCUGACAAGAAAUGUACUUAAGAUUGUAUAUAUGGAGAUGAAUACCCAUUGUCCUUUGCACUUUCUGGAUGAUAAAUUAGAAAAGAAAAAUCCAAAGAAUGAAGUUGUGCUAUUUGUCCUCACUUCUGAUUUGGGAAACUAGAGGAAAUUAAGAUGGGAAAAGACCAUGUGAGGACACAGUGAGAAGGAGACCAUAUGCAAAGCAGGAAGGAAGAUCUCACUGGAACCAAAAACCAGCCCUGCUGGCACCCUGAUCUUGGACUUCUAGCCUUUCUCAGAACUGUGAGAAAAUAAAUUUCUGAUGUUUCAGCCA